UAUUAGAAUAAGAGCGCGGUAGGGAAAGAGAGUAAAGCCCUGCUGAGCGUGGCGCAAUGAUGGAAGGAAGGAAGUGGAAUGGGAAGGCAAUCGAGAACUGCCAUCGGAAGUGAAAGGUCAUAAG